rnacentral:rRNA from 1 species
GAUGAACGCUGGCGGCAUGCCUAAUACAUGCAAGUCGAGCGGACCAAAGAGAGCUUGCUCUCUGAGGUUAGCGGCGGACGGGUGAGUAACACGUGGGUAACCUGCCUGUAAGACGGGGAUAACUUCGGGAAACCGAAGCUAAUACCGGAUGAUAAAGAGAAACGCCUGUUUCUUUUUUGAAAGUCGGCCUUGUGCUGACGCUUACAGAUGGGCCCGCGGCGCAUUAGCUAGUUGGUGAGGUAACGGCUCACCAAGGCGACGAUGCGUAGCCGACCUGAGAGGGGGAUCGGCCACACUGGGACGGAGACACGGCCCAGACUCCUACGGGAGGCAGCAGUAGGGAAUCUUCGGCAAUGGACGAAAGUCUGACCGAGCAACGCCGCGUGAGCGAUGAAGGCCUUCGGGUCGUAAAGCUCUGUUGUCAGAGAAGAACAAGUACCGGAGUAACUGCCGGUACCUUGACGGUACCUGACCAGAAAGCCACGGCUAACUACGUGCCAGCCGCCGCAGUAACAC